GGGGAAUAUUGGACAAUGGGCGCAAGCCUGAUCCAGCCAUGCCGCGUGAGUGAUGAAGGCCUUAGGGUUGUAAAGCUCUUUCGCCGGUGAAGAUAAUGACGGUAACCGGAGAAGAAGCCCCGGCUAACUUCGUGCCAGCAGCCGCGGUAAUACGAAGGGGGCUAGCGUUGCUCGGAAUCACUGGGCGUAAAGCGCACGUAGGCGGAUCGUUAAGUCAGGGGUGAAAUCCUGGAGCUCAACUCCAGAACUGCCCUUGAUACUGGCGAUCUCGAGUUCGAGAGAGGUUGGUGGAACUCCGAGUGUAGAGGUGAAAUUCGUAGAUAUUCGGAAGAACACCAGUGGCGAAGGCGGCCAACUGGCUCGAUACUGACGCUGAGGUGCGAAAGCGUGGGGAGCAAAC
rnacentral:rRNA from 1 species